rnacentral:rRNA from 1 species
GUACGCUGGCGGCACGCCUAACACAUGCAAGUCGAACGAAGUAGCAAUACUUAGUGGCAGACGGGUGAGUAACAUGUAGGUAUCUGCCCUUUGGCCUGGAAUAACACGAGGAAACUUGUGCUAAUACCGGAUAAGUCUUUACGGAGAAAGCUUUAUGCACCAUUGGAUGAGCCUGCACUUGAUUAGUUUGUUGGUGGGGUAAUGGCCUACCAAGACUGUGAUCAAUAGCUGAUUUGAGAGGAUGAUCAGCCACAUUGGGACUGAGACACGGCCCAAACUCCUACGGGAGGCAGCAGUGGGGAAUCUUGCACAAUGGAGGAAACUCUGAUGCAGCGAUGCCGCGUGAGUGAAGAAGGCCCUUGGGUUGUAAAGCUCUUUCGUCGGGGAAGAAAAUGACUGUACCCGAAUAAGAAGGUCCGGCUA